CAACAUCAUGUAUUCUAAGCUUAUUUGAUUUUUUAUUUUUAUUUUUAUUUGGUGAAAAUCAAUAAGAGUUUAGUAUAUUAUGUUGCCGACAUCUUGGUAGUACAACAGAUGUGGUUGAUGACUUGCUAACUUGCACUUAGUCUUGUUAAGUCUGUAAAGGUGGCCUAUUCAUGUUUCUCUACUGGGAAAAGACAAUUGAUAUCUCAAGCUGAGAAAACUGUUCACUGGCUGCAUCUCACGAGACCCAUUGUAAAUGUCGUCAUUGUCAUGCAGCUUGGUUGCCGCUAAUGUUUCUCUCAGCUUGGCUGCAUCUCACGAGACCAUUUUUCUCUUUCUUCAUUUAUCUGUUUAUUUUGCAAAAUACUAUUGAUAUGGGUUCCAUUUGAUAGACCAUUAUAAAAUCCAAAGCAGAUGGAUGUUAUAUUAUUUGUAGUUCCACUUAAAUUGAUGUGUUCAACCAAAAGUGGGGUCUCUGUAGGUACGUUAAGUUAAAACUUCCAAUUCUUUUGGUGCAUAGUCUCCUACUUUAUUUUAUUUUUAUUUCUUCAUGCACCUGCUGCAUUUGAAUGAGUCAAGUUGAGAUUUCUGUAAAUGGACAAAAGUUACAUUUAAACCAUAGAAGUAGAAGUCUCUAACAAGGUUGUCACAUUCAUACCUUGGCAGGCAUAUCUAUUUAAUGGCUACUGGGAAGAUAUUGGGACCGUCAAGUCCUUUUUUGAUGCUAACUUGGCUCUCACAUAUUAGCCUCCCAAGUUUCAAUUUUAUGAUCUGCCGAAGCCAAUCUUCACGUCUCCUAGGUUUCUACCACCAACGAAGAUAGAAAAAUGAUAGGUUUUGGACUCCAUAAUUUCACAUGGAUGCUUCUUAAGGGAAUGCAAUGUUGAACAUUCCAUAGUUGGGACACGCUCAAGACUGAAGUAUGGGUCUGAACUGAAGGUAAUUCAUGUCUCAUCCAUGACACACUUCCUUGACAGAGAUGUGUGAAUGGUAUCAUGGUAUGAACUCUUGUUGUUUUUCUUUCUUAGACAUCUAUUUGGUGACCCCCAUGAAAGGAUGAUGACAUCCCCCUAUUUGAAUUCAGUGAACCAUGGGCUCCACUUGUAAAAACUUAAAACUCAAACAGAUCUGUUCAAUCUUUUGUGCUGAGCUAUAUUUGGAUCAGUUUUUUUUUUUCUUUUUCUUUUUGGUUG